AAAUGUGAGUUCAUUUCCUGAGUCUUUUAAAUCUUUCUCCGUAGACGGAGCACCGAGGAGCCGUGGCCGGAGGGCAGAGCGGCCUCAGGCACGCAGCACACAUGGAAGGAGGUUCGGAACUUGUCCCCGCCGCGUGCUCUUUCCAGGCCAUUGCAGGACGCUGGAUUUAGCGAUGAGACCGCACUGAAGGAUCCGGAUGCACGUGGGCUCUCCACCUCCCUCCCAAGAAAAUGGUUUGAAGGCCAGUUGCUUUCACAAUGGGUUUUUCCCGUUUGCCCAGGCAAGGUGGGACUGUGAAAUCAGUUCAUCCGAAAGAGAGGGCAGAAAAUGGAUCCGAUGCCGGAUUACCGGGGACACGGGAGAGUUUGGAAGGAGCCAACGCUUGUCAGGGUGCCUUUCCACACACAUUAUUUUACCCACUUCUCAGAGCAACCCCGUGAAGCACAUGGCGGUGUGCCCGUUCCACAGGCGAGGCUCUGGGGGUGAAGCGGCAAAUCCAAGGGCACCUCACCUCCCCUGCAGACAAAUCAUCUUUCCUGUCGUGAGCUACCUCGCCGAUCUGUCCCUCCCCUUCGUGGCUGCAGUCAGCAUCUUACGCCAAAGUUCUUCGUGGGAUGGGCUGGCCCACAUCCAUCUGCCCGUCUCCCCAGCCAGGAUGAAGACACCAUGAAGAUGGGGACUUUCCUUGCUCACCGAUGUGUGUGGUGGCCGGUCACGACCUUGAGCACAGUAGCUCUGUAGUAUGUAUCUGUCCUACGAAGGAAGGACUGAAUGAACGAAAGAGUCCCGCCCCCGAAGGAGGAAAGGGGGUCCAAAUGAGAAGCAUGGCGAUCUCUGGCGGGCCAGCUGAGAUGCUACAAGGGUCAUUCUGAAGCCGGUGGCACAGGAUGCCCCAAGCUGAGCAAACCAUGACCUGGAGGGCCCAGCUGUCAGGCAGUGGAGUGGCCUUUGCACCUGGCAUCCGGGCACCGCGGGCCCAUGCACAGCACAUGCGGCCAGAGCACCCUUUAGACAGACGCACCCUCAGGAACCGAGAGAGCCCUGCUUCUCCCUGGAAGUGGCCUGGCAAGUCAGGGGCAGGGUCUGGCAUCAGACCUGUCAGUCCUUCCCAGAAAUUCCGAGCGGCCCAUGGAUUAAAGCGAGGACCAGCUUUUGGAACAACGGUCCCCGUUCUGGUUUUGCCUCACAGAGAUGACGCCUGGCCUCACAGUUUGGGAGCCUGGCCCCUGAGUAAGUCUCCCUAAUCCUCACUGUGUCUUCCCCCUGCUCUCCUCUGAGACCCCAAGGUGGCUUCAGUGGACGGUCAGACAGAGGAAAGUGCAGCAGACGGAAGGCCGCACAGAAGACAGGCCUGGCAAGAGGAGGCUCCCCCACCCCCGGCGGUCGUGCCUCCCUGCAGGCUGAUUUUGCUCUGACAGCCUCGUGGGUGUUUGUCUUUGAUCUUGGUUGUCAGCACAAGCAUGUGUAAGUGCUGACUGUGCCUGGCCUUGCCUUCAACACCACAACUGCUGGGGACACCCAGGGCCCUGCCCUCAGAAGGUGCCCAGUCCCAAACGACGCCAGGCAGCAAACCAAGCCCCUCACCCCACCCCCCGCCCCCAGAGCCCAGAGGCACGAGCCAGGCUGCCUGCCACUCAGGGUCCGCUGCUCCUCUGGGCAGAUGUGAAGAAGCUAGGCGCUCCCAGCCUCAAAGGGCCAAUUCCUCCCUUUUGGACUCUUAGUUUCUGGUUCUGCUGGGUCACGGUUUAUGAGGAAGUAGAUCCCGUCAUCCCUAGGACAGCAAAUGGGGGACUCGUAACAAAUCACCCGUAAUGAGACCACAUUCUGUUCCGGGUCACACAGAGUAAACAUUAGAAACCAGACUCGGCACAUCUACUUUCUUCUGAUAGGUGGCCCUUUGGAGCUGUGGCAAAAAUGACCACUCUGGGGCCCAGAGGGCCAGGACCGCCUGCGGGCACAGUGCGUAAUGCACAGCAGAGGAGACCUGGGGACACCGGCACUCACUCCUGGACCGUGCCUUCCACGACAACUUCCCUCCAAAAGGCCAUUUGGCUACAACGUAUCAUAUGACUUGUUCUUAGAGUUACAUUUUAACUGACAAAGUUUAACAACAACUAUGACUUAUGGCCUUCUAAAAUUGGCAGCAGAAAAAUGAACUGAGGAAGUAAUGGAAAAAAACCGCAAGUGAAGCCACUCUGUAUCAUGCACAAUUUCUGUUGUGCUUUUUUUUCCCUUCCCAAGCAUGUGUGUGUGUGCGCGUGUGUGUGCGCGCAUGCGCGUGCCCAUGUGUGUGUCUGUGUGUGUGUUUUCGAAGGGUAGCAAAUAUUUUCCAGAUACACUGGCCUGGCGUUCCCAAGCACAUAUUUAUGCCAAGUUUAUAAAAAGCAGCUGCAGACAGGGUUGACUGAAAGGAUUGCUCUGCUGUCUGGCUUCCAGAAGGUGCUUCGGUUCUUACUCUGUCACCAGGGCAGCCUUACCUCCCAAAACUCUCUGACCCGCGCUGUGCGUCUGGAAGAGGACAAACCCGCGGCACAGAGUGACCUGGACGAGCGCUCGCCCCUGGCUCCUCUGACCUUCCGCAUCACGCGUCUGGUCCGCAAGUAUCGUGGCGACUUUUCAAAUACCGGUCCAGACCAUGACUCUCAGAACUGUUGGCCAUGCCGGCAGAGUUAAGGCCCCAACAUGGUGUUUAUACUUCAUGACCCCAGACCCAGACUACAGUUGAGUACACAAGAGACAGACAGCUGCCCAGAAACAGAGUGCUAGCAGGGGAGGAGCAAAGAGGGAGACACAGAAUCCGAA